rnacentral:rRNA from 1 species
UAGGGAAUCUCCACAAUGGACGAAAGUCUGAUGGAGCAACGCCGCGUGAGUGAAGAAGGGUUUCGGCUCGUAAAACUCUGUUGUUAAAGAAGAACAUAUCUGAGAGUAACUGUUCAGGUAUUGACGGUAUUUAACCAGAAAGCCACGGCUAACUACGUGCCAG